CUGCCCUUAAGAAAUUGACUAUCCAAUUGAAGAGAUGAGACACUUUCACACACAAAGGAAGGAAAUAAGAAAAACAGACCUCACACUCAACUCAAAGACCAUCUUCUCUGUGAUUAUCUGCUGACCUCGUCACCUGGAUUCCAGCUGUGGAGGGACUUCGCUGGUGG